AACGAAGAAGAUAUUUGAUGUACAAAAUUGUUCUGAUGAUCGAAAGAUUUCUUUUGCCACCUUAUAUUGGAAGUAGAGGCUGAUCAUUAAUGGGAACAAUGAAAAAAAAAAAAAUUUUGAAGAUCAGUGGCAAGAAUGAUAAGGACAAGUUUACCAAUAAAAAUAUGAUUGGAAAUGAAUUAGAAAGUGAUAACAAGAGGGUCAAGACAUUUGGAUUUGAAAA
rnacentral:lncRNA from 1 species